rnacentral:rRNA from 1 species
GCGUCAAAGCGUACCCAACCACUAAUUCAAAACAAACUCCCCCCCACCCCCUGACCCCUUUCACAGAGUAACUCUAUUAAACAAUAGAAGAACUAAUGCUAAAACUAGUAAUAAGAACAAACUCUCUUCACACACCCUUCAAUCAGAAAUAGAUAACCUACUGAAGAUUAACAAACUAAAAAAAGUAUAAAAUAAAUUACCAAGCAAAAAUUCACACAAUUUGUGACACCAACACAGGAGUGUUAAAAAGAAAGAUUAAAAGCCCAACAAGGAAUUCAGCUAAUAGACUCCAACUGUUUACCAAAAACAUAGCCUUUAGCAACACAAGUAUUAAAGGUCUCGCCUGCCCAGUGAUUCUUUCAACGGCCGCGGUAUCCUAACCGUGCAAAGGUAGCGUAAUCAUUUGUCUCCUAAAUAGAGACUCGUAUGAACGGCUAACUGAGAGCCUAACUGUCUCCUAAGGCCAAUCAAUGAAACUGAUCUUCCAGUACAAAAGCUGGAAUAAACUCAUAAGACGAGAAGACCCUGUGGAGCUUAAAACACACACUAUUUUUUCACCUUUUUUCUUCCCAUGGGAUCAUUACCCAAAACAUAGUGACAAGCCUUUUUAGUUGGGGCGACUUCGGAACAAAAAAAAACUUCCAUGAAAGGGUAACACCCCUCUCAAGGCCAACCAGCCAAAAUAAUCAUUCUUGACCCAGACAUCUGAUCAAC